rnacentral:lncRNA from 1 species
AAUACUGAUCAAAUUUAAAAUUCAUCAACUCUAUAAUAUAGAAUACAUUUUCUCGGUAACCUACAACAUGAAGCAACCAUAUUCUCCCUCAGUCCGGUGUCAUAAUCAUGGAUGUUACCAUGAUGUUCUUUAGAUGUCUCGAGAAUAUACCAAACACUUGAAUAAAUAUACAGAAUAAAAGUUUACAAUAUUUUAGCAGGCUUGCCUACACGCAUCCAUAUAGCCUGGUCUCCUGUGAAGGGUAAAAAUCCUACCUGCACAAGCUGCCCUUUCCCCACACCAAUCAUCCCUUUUAAAGAACAUUAUUGUUUGUCAAAUGUAUAUCCUAAGGUAAACAGUCCUUUCUUUUGACUCUUAUUUCAUUCUUCUUUUUUUCUUCUUCUUCUUCUUUGGGUUCUAAAACUAGUUUCUUUCUUUUUUUGUGAGGGCUCCUCGACGUCAUUAUCAUAAAUCCUUCAAGACCAAGAGAGAUGGCAUAUAUAUAUACUUCAAUGUCGACCUGAGGUCUGGUAUAAGACCCCCUUUUAAAAUUUGGAAGAGUGGAAAUGGAAUAUUGUUCCAAAUACAUACCGUACAUAUUCCAUUCACAACACAGAGAUAAAUAGGGAGAAACAUCUGGAAAAAAUUAAUACAGACAGUUGAUUCAAACCUUUCUUCUCUUCGUUCUUCUUCAAGAAUGUGGAAGAAAUUAGUGAUCUCUUACAGGCAGUUGAGCCAAACGUUUCUUCUCUUCUUUUUCUUCUCCUUCUUCUCAGCUGCCUUUAAAAAAUCAAUAAUUUAUUUCAGGUAGCUGAGCUUGUUUCUUUUCUUCUUCUUCCUUUUUUUAUGUCAAAAACCUUGAAAAAAAUAUUGAUAUCUUACAUACAGUUGAGUCAAACGUUUCUUCUUCCUCCUCUUUUUUUCUUCUUGUUCUUCUUUAAGCAUGUCAAAAGAAGAAGAGGAAGAUAAAAAACGUUUAACUCAGCUGCCUAUGAAAAAACAAUAACUUCUCAGCUGAGCUAAUUGUUUCUUGCCAUCCUCAUCUUCUCUUUUUUCUAAAGAAGUCAAACACUUGGCAAAAAUUAAUGACUUUUUACAGGCACUUGAGUCAAACGUUUCUUCUUCUUUCUACUGAUGUUAAAUAAGGCAUUGCAGCUUGAAAUAGGACAUUUUUAUGGUAUGAGUAGUACUCACAAAACCUUCCAAAUUCCUAAGAAGAUAGACAUAGGACGCGGCUUUCUUUGUCAAACGUGAGUUUUAAAUUUGUAAUGCCUACCUGAAGACCUACCAGGGAAAAGGUUUGUGUUGUUUCUGUUUAAAAGCAAUUUAUUGGAUGCAAACCAAAGCUCAGCCGUUACAGUAUACCAUGUACAUACAACGUGGCCAUACAAGUAGACCAUUAUGUAAAUUUAAAAAAUGUGUACUCCAGGAUAGAUCUCUGGGGUACACAAAUUUACUAACAAUAUUACACCAAUCCUGACUCCUUGCAUACAACUCGUAUAAGAGGAAUUAUAACAUGGCAGCUUGGUCAGGAGAUGGUUAUGGGACACCCAGUCAAAAGCCUUGCUAAGGAACACAGUAGAGAAAAGAUAGGCAUAGAUCCACCAAACUUAUGAUAGCUUGUGUAGUAUCCUUCCUAGCCCUACAACCAUAUUGACACCUGGUAAAAUAGUUUGAAGUGUCUUCUUUAUUCCCGGACUCAGAAAUUGGUGGGACUAUUGCCUGUUUAAGUUGUGAAAGAAAGACACUCUCCUAGAGGCGUAGAUUUGUAAGAGGAUGAAUUAUUUGCUUUUUAAUCGAUUUAAGAAUGGGAGUGUCUUUUAAAUCUUAAUGAAAAUUACCUCCUAGAUAGAAAAAUGUAGUGAGGCACCAUUAAGGAGGGUCAUGUAAGGGAUUGAAAUAAUUUCAGGUAUAUCCCUCACAAGAUUUGCAGAUCAACACUGGCUGAGGCAAACCAAGUGACCCAAGUAUCUGCAAAUGCAAAACCCUUGAACCACAUCAAGAGCAUCAACUUAUUCCACAUUACUAGACCUUUCAAAACACUUAUUUGGACAUACGAGCUUAAGGUGUGAUCUGUCGUUUUUGUCAUUUGUCAACUUAUUUACUUGAACUGUACCCAAUAUUAUGGUAGACUGCGCGACGAUCAUCCCAUGCCAAGAAAAACAAAUACACUCAAAAUAGUCAUUCAGCAUUGACCGAAGAAUUCAACAAUGACGCAAUUAUUAGUGAUCUGAGCAUGAAAUCGGCGGUUUUCUUAGAAGUGUGCCCCGCUCGACCGAUUACUCACGAAUUAAAAGCGAAUUUGCAUUUUUGCACUCUACUAUGUAAUUCUUAUGAAUAAUUAUGUUAGAUUGUUGUUGAUUUGCGGUUUUACUCAUUUCUGCUGUGCGAUUUAUUACUAUAUUCAAUAAUGACGUACUCUGUAAUCAUCAAUCCGUCUUAGUUAUUACGUAGUAAUUUUUUAUAUGAAUCACUUUAAACGUCGAUUAUCACCAUAAAAAUAAACAAAGUAUAUGUUAUUGUUUAUCAAAAAUAAUGCAUAGGGCUUAAAUAAGUUCUUUCCAGCCAUUAGUCCCUAUGUGAAUUAGAUUUUCUUCGAACUAGGAAUGUUUGCCAAAUGAAGAUCGUUGGUAAGUAUAACUCUUCAAGCUUUCUUAAUUUUAAUGAGCUUGAGAUAUUUUCGUUAUUUAAUUCUACAUUCAUCUCGAAAAUUCCAUCCAGACAAGUAGUAAAAACCUUCUCAGCUAUUAUUGCAAAAUAUUAGGUUGUUUUUUUGACGAUACUUACGGGAGAUAAGCACGACGUCAUCAAAACCAUUAGAAUUCUAGGAAGCCAGAUUAAAAAAAUAAUAUUUUAUUAUAAGAUAGUGUCAAAUUGUCAAUCGUCCAGGUACAUACAAUGAUGAUAAUAAAAUCGGUUUUCACAAUAAUUACGAUACACGUCAACGUUUACCAUGUCAAUGCCAUUAACCACUUACCCAGUUCGAGAAAAUCAAAUAUUCACCAUGUAUGUGUGUGUCUGUCGGUGUGUGGGUGUGAGGUAUUUUUUGCGCAAUCCCAUAAAUGAAUACUAGCAUUUUCUUAAAAGUACAAUGUUAAUUGUAUCGCUAAGUUCACAGGGAGUGACUCGGGUUUUAAACUAUCGCGCAUUUAAUGGGAUUGAAUAAUGUUCGUCUUAAGGACGUAGAGAAUAUUGAAAAAGUUUUUCAAAGAGAAUAACAAAUACUUUAAGAAUAUUCUCAUAUCAGGCAUAUAGUGCUUGAAAUCGGUUCGAAUGUCUGGAAUAAAAUUGAAAUUAGUUUUUAAUAAUUUGACACUAUACGCCCGGACUAUGGAAGCAUCAAACAAAGACGCCGUUAGAUCGUAGUGCAUUAGAGCGAGAAAGCUCAGUCGAUGCAAUCUAGCCACACCCUUUAUUUGUAGUACGGGAAUGUAUGUAAAAAAACGCCUAUUCUUGCAAGAUUUACUUUAUUAAAAUGUUCAGCUGUAUAGGUUGGGCUAUGCCACUAUCGCCAUCAAUGUAUAGAUGGCGAUAAUUAUAAUUUUCAAACGCAUUUUUUAUUCCCGUAAAAAAAACAUAUUUCUGCAUAAGAAUAAUCAUCAUCAGGAAGUUUUCCACCUUAUUCAUAAAAAAUUACGUUUUUUAUUUUUAUAACCUCAUCAAAUUUGAAAACUUAAAAGCCGAUUCACGUCACCGCCCACAAAAAAAAAACAAACGAGGUAAUGAACAGCCUCCAUCAGAACCAACGUAACGACGAGUGUCUGAUGAUUAGUGUGUCAUUACCGAAACGUCGAGAUACAAACAAAAAGUGUUUUUAAUGGUAAUAAAGAGGCCUCUAAAAUAUUGAAGAUGAUGAUUAUUAAACCGAAACGUCGUACGAAGUAUUCAAAUAACAAGAAUAUCCUCAUAACUUGGUUUCAAUGCCUCGAAUAAAAUUGUAAUUAUUAUUUAAUAAUUUGACGCUAUACGCCCGGACUAUGGAAUCAUUGAACAAAAACGCUGCUUAAUCGUAGUGCGGUAGAACGAGAGAGCACAGUCGAUCUAGCGUAGUCACACCCGUUAUUUGUAGUACGGGGGUGUAUGUAAAAAAAACGUCUAUUUUUGCAAGAUUUACUUCAUUAAAUUAUUCAGCAUAGGGUGGGUAUUUUGAUUAUAUAUACAGGUAAGGCUAUGCCGCCAUCUAGAUUAUGAUUAUCAAAAGCAUUUUUUAUUCCCGUUAAAAAGAACAUAUUUCGGCAUAGGAAUAAUCAUCAUCAGGAAUUUCACCACAUUUUAAAACUCAAAAAUUUGGCAAGAAUAGCCGAUUCACGUCACAGUUGUUAAUGGCAAUAGAAAGACCUUUAAAAUAUUGAAGAUAUUAAACCGAAACGUCGUACGAAGUACUCAAAUAACAAAAAUAUCUUCAUAUCAGUCUAAAUAAAGUACGUGAAAUCAGUUUAAAUGCCUGGAAUAAAAUUGAAAUCAUUAUUUAAUAAUUUGACACUAUACGCCCGGACUAUGGAAGCAUUGAACAAAAACGCUGCCUAAUCGUAGUGCGUUAGAACGAGAGAGCACAGUCGAUCUAGCGUAGCCACACCCGUCAUUUGUAGUACGGGGGUCUAUGUAAAAAAACGACUAUUUUUGCAAGAUUUACUCCAGCGAUAUAUCCUCAAAAACGAAUAUUUUUUCUUUUCUUAGACUUUGAUUUUUCUGUUAUGUUAAGUAUAUUUCAAUGUUUCCAUUUAAUUUUAAUUAUUAUUUUCAAAUUUUAUUGUUGAUUUCUAUCUCUAUGUUUUAAAGAUGUAUUUAAGUAGGAAUUAAAAUAGUCAUUGAAUAAUAUGAUAGUUUAGUUUUUAUAUACUUUUAUUGUUUUUAA